UACGGGGGACGGGAGCAAGCUGUUUGGUUGGAAUUACUGGGCGUAAAAGGGCUCGUAGGCGGCCAACUAAGUCGGAUGUGAAAUCCCCAGGCUUAACCUGGGAACUGCAUCCGAUACUGGAUGGCUUGAAUCCGGGAGAGGGAUGCAGAAUUCCAGGUGUAGCGGUGAAAUGCGUAGAUAUCUGGAGGAAUACCGGUGGCGAAGGCGGCAUCCUGGACCGGCAUUGACGCUGAGUGAGCGAAAGCUAGGGGAGCAAACGGG
rnacentral:rRNA from 1 species